UUACAAUUGUGCUGAACCAAAACGCCUCUAUCGGAUCCGCACACAACAUAAAAUCUAAACCCUAAACCCGCUACCACAAGACUACAAAGAAGAGAGAGAGAGAGAGAGAGAGGAGCUCCAUCACAAAGCGCAGAGAAUUUGCACUACAACGCAAGCACAAGCAACGUCAUAAAUUUUUGACCAGCUCCCUCAACUCAGCUCUCCCCUUAGUAACUGUAGGCUGUGAAGUCUCAGUGGGAGCUUCCAUUUACUGUUCAAGCUGUUAUUUUGGUGGAGGAGAAAGGAACAGCUACCUUUGUGAAUCCUGGAGAAAUGAACCAUUGUGCCCCUGAUUGGAAUGCAGAGGAUGAUUUAAGAUAUUCUCAUGAGCUCUUUUCCAAGCCAAAUGAGAAGAAAUCUAUGCCAGGACCAGACAAUGAACUCUUGGAGCUCCUACAUAGAAAUGGGCAUGUUUCAAUGCAAAGCCAAGCCAAUCCUGAACCAUUGCCACAACCUAAUCAAGUUCAGAGAUCUGAUCUCAAACCGAUCAAUUUGAUGCAUGAAGAUGAAACU